rnacentral:rRNA from 1 species
GUGGGGAAUAUUGGACAAUGGGCGCAAGCCUGAUCCAGCCAUGCCGCGUGAGUGAUGAAGGCCUUAGGGUUGUAAAGCUCUUUCGCCCGCGAAGAUAAUGACGGUAGCGGGAGAAGAAGCCCCGGCUAACUUCGUGCCAGCAGCCGCGGUAAUACGAAGGGGGCUAGCGUUGUUCGGAAUCACUGGGCGUAAAGCGCACGUAGGCGGACAUUUAAGUCAGGGGUGAAAUCCCAGAGCUCAACUCUGGAACUGCCUUUGAUACUGGGUGUCUUGAGUAUGGAAGAGGUAAGUGGAAUUCCGAGUGUAGAGGUGAAAUUCGUAGAUAUUCGGAGGAACACCAGUGGCGAAGGCGGCUUACUGGUCCAUUACUGACGCUGAGGUGCGAAAGCGUGGGGAGCAAACAGGAUUAGAUACCCUAGUAGUCC